AUGGCAGGACCAGAGGAUGGUGGUAGUUACAAAGGAAUGCGGAAUCAACUCGUCGAUGAUGGUCCAGGGAGUGACUUGUGCCAUGACUUGCUGAACGAAAAGCAAGAGAUGAGAGGGGUGGUGCAACAGAUUUUGUGUGGAAAGAUGUAUCAAUCUCUCGGAAUCUUUAUCAUAAAGUGUCCUGAAGCAUUAACCAAUUGCACUUCUUCUUCUCUCCCUAUUGGGGACUGA